rnacentral:rRNA from 1 species
CGGCGGACGGGUGGGUAACACGUGGAUAACCUACCUAUAAGACUGGGAUAACUUCGGGAAACCGGAGCUAAUACCGGAUAAUAUAUUGAACCGCAUGGUUCAAUGGUGAAAGACGGUUUUGCUGUCACUUAUAGAUGGAUCCGCGCCGCAUUAGCUAGUUGGUAAGGUAACGGCUUACCAAGGCAACGAUGCGUAGCCGACCUGAGAGGGUGAUCGGCCACACUGGAACUGAGACACGGUCCAGACUCCUACGGGAGGCAGCAGCC